GGUAAAAAAGGAUUUCGGUUCUGUAAACCCCUUUUUCUGUGUGACGAGAGUGGACGGUAGCACAGGAAUAAGUUUCGGCUAAUUACGUCCCAGCAGCCGCGGUAAAACGUAGGAGGCAAGCGUUAUCCGGAGUUACUGGGCGUAAAGCGCGUGCAGGUGGUUGAGUAAGUUGGUUAUGAAAGCUCCUGGCUAAACUGGGAGAGGUUGACCAAGACUGCUGAACUUGAGUGGAUGAGAGGUAAACGGAAUUCCGCGUGUAGUGGUGAAAUGCGUAGAGAUGCGGAGGAACACCAGUGGCGAAGGCGGUUUACUGGCAUCCAACUGACACUGAGACGCGAAAGCAUGGGUAGCGAACGGGAUUAGAAACCCCGGUAGUCCAUGCCAUAAACGAUGCACACUAAACGUUCGCUAUCCGCGAGGGUAAUGAGUGUUGAAGCAAACGCGAUAAGUGUGCCGCCUGGGGAGUACGGUCGCAAGGCUAAAACUCAAAGGAAUUGACGGGGGCCCGCACAAGCAGCGGAGCGUGUGGUUUAAUUCGAGGAUACGCGAAGAACCUUACCUGGGUUUGACAUGAACGUGGUACUCAAGGGAAACUGCGAGGACUCUUCGGAGAGCGUUCACAGGUGCUGCAUGGUUGUCGUCAGCUCGUGCCGUGAGGUGUUCGGUUAAGUCCGCAAACGAGCGCAACCCUCGGCGUUAGUUACAAGUGUCUAACGCGACUGCCCGUGGCAAACGGGAGGAAGGUGGGGAUGAUGUCAAAUCAGCAUGGCCUUUAUAUCCAGGGCUACACACACGCUACAAUGGCGCAUACAAUGGGUAGCGAGACCGCGAGGUGGAGCCAAUCCUAAAAAGUGCGUCACAGUUCGGAUUGCAGGCUGCAACUCGCCUGCAUGAAGUCGGAGUUGCUAGUAACCGUGUAUCAGCACGGCACGGUGAAUACGUUCCCGGGCCUUGUACACACCGCCCGUCACGUCAUGGGAGUUGGUUACGCCUGAAGUCGGGAAGCUAACCGCAAGGGGGCUACCGCCGAAGGCAGGACUGAUGACUGGGACGAAGUCGUAACAAGGUAGCUGUAGCGGAAGCUGCGGCUGGAUCACCUCCU
rnacentral:rRNA from 1 species